UUUACGGCAUAUUUUAUUGACGGAGCUCAGAAUGACUUGGGACGCUUUCACUGAAGCUUGUCUUGCUGCAAUACACACGAGUAUUGCAGCAAAACAAGCUUCAUUGAAAGCGUCCCCAGUCGUUCUGAGCUCCGUCAAUAAAUUAUGCCGUACC
rnacentral:pre_miRNA from 1 species